rnacentral:rRNA from 1 species
UACGGGGGGGGCAAGCGUUGUUCGGAAUUACUGGGCGUAAAGGGCUUGUAGGCGGCCAACUAAGUCCGACGUGAAAUCCCCAGGCUUAACCUGGGAACUGCGUCGGAUACUGGAUGGCUUGAAUUCGGGAGAGGGAUGCAGAAUUCCAGGUGUAGCGGUGAAAUGCGUAGAUAUCGAGAGGAACACCUGCGGCGAAGGCGGGUUGCUGGGCUGACACUGACGCUGAUGCGCGAAAGCCAGGGGAGCAAACGGG